rnacentral:tRNA from 1 species
UUAAUUGAAACCAAAUAGAGGUAUACCACUGUUAAUGGUAAAAAUGAAUCUUUUCCAAUUAAA